GGCCUGGCUACUUAGAGGCUAGAGACAAGGUACCUAGAGUGGAGCAGGACUGGGGAAAGGCAGAGGAGCUGGGGACCUCCAGCCUGGAAAGACCCAGGGUGUGGCCUUGCAUAAGGCCAAUAC